rnacentral:rRNA from 1 species
GUGAGGAAUAUUGCGCAAUGGAGGCAACUCUGACGCAGCCAUGCCGCGUGCAGGAAGAAGGCGCUACGCGUUGUAAACUGCUUUUAACCGGGAAGAAACCCCAGGACGUGUCCUGGGUUGACGGUACCGGAGGAAUAAGCACCGGCUAACUUCGUGCCAGCAGCCGCGGUAAUACGAAGGGUGCAAGCGUUAUCCGGAUUCAUUGGGUUUAUAGGGUGCGUAGGCGGAGCGUUAAGUCAGUGGUGAAAUCCUGCAUCUUAACUGUAGACUUGCCGUUGAUACUGGCGCUCUUGAGUGCGCUUGAAGUGGGCGGAAUGUGCCGUGUAGCAGUGAAAUGCUUAGAUAUGGCACAGAACACCAAUUGCGAAGGCAGCUCACUAAGGCGAUACUGACGCUGAGGCACGAAAGCGUGGGGAUCGAACAGGAUUAGAUACCCGUGUAGUCC